GUGUUCACUUGGGCAGCACAUAAACUAACACUGGAAUGAGAUAGAGAAGAUUAGCACGGCCCCUUCACAAAAAGGACAACACAAAUGUGUGAGUUGUUCCACAUUGGA